GGCGUGGCGAGCAUGCGCGGGGAGGGGGGGGGGGGGGGGUGGGGAAGGGCUGGGCGGGAAAGGUGCGGCGCCAUGUUGGGGCGCCAUGUUGUGUGGGGUUCCCUCACAGAACAUGGCAGAGCUGUGGAGCGCCCUGUUCUUGCUGGUGGCCCUUCCCUCUGUCCUCCCUGUGCACUGUGUGGCCUGGCAGCUGCCCUGCGGGCUCUCCAUGAUAAACCUUAACAGAGCUGCUGCUCAGAGCCUGCAGCUCAGAGGAACCCCUGCCACCAUGGUGGUAAUCACAGGGGAAAUAAUUACAGGCUGAGAGGAAAGGGAACAGCCAGGAGGGCUGUCAGGGUUUGUCUCGCUGAGGCCCCCCCCAAAAAAAUAGAUUUAACUCCGUGCCCAACUCCUCAGGCGCAGAGCUUCACUCUGCCAAAAUUUUCAUCUAUUAUUCAGUAUUACUUCAGUCUAUUUAUUUAAAGCUUUCUUCCCCUGUUUUUGCCUCUCCAGAGACUGGAUGCUAAUAUCUGCUAAAUUUAGCUAUCAUCUGAAUAAAGCUUAUUCAAUUAUAGCCGAUGCUGGCAGUAGCAAGCUGGUACUGGAGGAGAAAGAAAGAGGUUUAUUCUCCCUCAAAUAUGUCCUGCAGGGAGAGAGAGAGACAAGCAGCGCUCGUUGUUCUGCUCAGUAAUGAUCUCUAGUGGUGACUGAUAACAGUUAAACUGGGGUUCAUUAAAAGGCAUCCAUUCUUUGCAGAUUGUUCUCCAGCCUCUGCAGAUGUCACCUCAACAUGCAUCUUUUUUUAUUGUUAGUUCUCUUCUGAAUCUCUGGGUGGUUCCUGGCAUCUUGUGUCAGUACCUGGCAUUGCUAUGGUGCUAAUACAUCUUCCUGGACAAAACCUAUUUGGUGCUUAUUCCUGGGAAACAUUAACCACCUACUUCCUAUUCGCGUCUGGAUUCAGGGGGCUAUGUAGGAGUCUCAGCUUGAAGGAAUGUUCUGAAGAAUGUUAGAAAACAGAAGCUGAGAGCAGCUUUAGAAGUAGAAUACAACAAUUGCAAACAUUCAUUUAGUUUAGGAGUGCUUUUUAAACAGUCUUAUGAUUUUGGGAAAUGGGAUCCUGAUGUUUGAACACUCGGUAUUGUCCAUACUGACAAAUACAUCUGCAUUUUUUUCUUUCAAAAUGAAUCAGGCCGAUUUUCAAGCUGAUUUAUAACAGAUUUUCACCUUUGUAUGUUCCUUCACACGUGGAUUAUAGAACGUGCUUUGCUUCAGACAGCUGUCCGGUUUCACCACGUCCAGUGUUCUGUAUUUUCCCUGGAACUGCAAUACAUUAUGAGGUCUUAUUCAAAGCUCUUGUCAUUAAUAUUUAUCUGUGUUUGCCAACCUCUAGCGGUUUGUGUUGUGGUCACCGUUCCUACAAAGAACCGUGGAUCACUGCCUGCCCCGUACCUCAAGUACAUAGGAACCUUUGUCCUUUAACUGUGUGACAUGCCUUUGAAAAGUGAUUUGACUUUCUGGUCUACUGUGUUUGAACAAGUGCUGGACAACGCUUUGAUUCGUGUCCUUGCGUGGGUAACCAAGAAACUGGCUCUGCAUCGCACAGCUUCUGCAAAUAAUGUUGUCUCAGGCUGAGACUAAAUCAGCUUCCCACUGUACUAGAUGCUGCAGUUAGAAAUGAACUCUGCCCCUGGAAAAGACAGUUGUUAUUCUCCUGUACAGAUGAGAUAAGGAGGCACAAAGAUUAAGCACCUCACAAAAUAUCUGAGGCUGGUUGUGUUCAAACUAGAUCUUCUGAAUGACAACGUGGGAGCUCAACCCAAAACGUCUUGUCUCUGUGUGCUGCUUUUUGGCUCCAAAUGGGAAGACAGCCAGCAUCAGUACCCUUGCUGAAGCUGUAAGAGCCAACUUUGUGGACAGAGGUGAUGUUUUUAAGAACAUAAAUGUUAAAUUUGGGGAAAAAAAACAAACAAACUACAAACAUACAAGUCUUUCGUUGGAGCUUAGAAUACCAGGAGAAAGCACUUUGUUAGUAAAUCUUGCAGGUAAUAAAGACUUGGUGUCACAAGGUUUUUGUGGUGAGAAAUAUUGGAAGUUUGCAUCCAGAAUCACAAAAAUGACUGAACUUCCAGUGCUCUCUACUCUUUAUCUUUGCCUGAAGGUAAAAAUCUCCUCUGAGGGAUGUCUGCUGCUGCUUGCCUCCUAGAAUGGCGCAGGCAAAGAGGUCUGCAGCUGGAGGUUAACAAUUUCCCUUUCUCUUUCCCACCACUCUCCUUAAAUGUCAGGAAAGGGAGGAAGCAGUAGAAGGAUCUUGACGUUUUUCUUUUGUUUCACCUUUGGUUUGCAACUUAACUCUUUAUUCCUCCCUUACAUUGGUUGAUUUGCUGUUCCUAGCUUGCUUUUGUGCAUUAGUCAGAACUACAGGUGUUCUGUGCCAGAAUCUGUGAAAUUCGCCCCCCAAAAUAUUCCCAGGUUCCCCAGCAAAUGGAUAGAAAUGGAAACGGGAUUUUGAAACAAGGUAUUGAGUGUAACAUCAGAUUCGUUAACUAGAGAGAUUUGUAAAAAGGCUGUAGCUCUCAAUUCUGGAAAUAUAGUGGCCUUUUAUAACACAAAGUCUAAUUUCUUCCAGGAAGGAUGUGUUUUAUCCGUGAUUACAAAGGAAAUAAUGAUUUCUCAUGUAAAGAGUAUUAGAGCUGAGCAUUCUUAAGUAACCCCAUGCUGUGCAGAUGUGAAACUGGAGACUGUCAGUCAUUGUUGAAUGUGUCUGCUUUCAAAUAAGUGACAAAGAGGUGGAAGGCUGUGUGUUUUGUUCCCAACCUCUCUGCUCCAGGGCCUUAAAAUGUUUACAAGCCCCCGAGCUGGCUCUGGAUGCAGCGAAGUUUAGCUAGUUAUGCUUGUCACCUACCAUUACGGGUUCGGAGACAGACAGGAGAUGGGCUGGGGUUUCACAGGCUUUUGCUGCCUUAGGCAGGCCUUGUUAGCUGAUUUCUCUGCUUUGAUGCAGAGCAGGGCUGCAGGAGCGUUGCUGGCUGCUGCAGCUCCUGUCUGCUCCAUCCUCUGCUGGCACUAGUCCGACCUCCUGAUGGCGGUUCAGUGUCCGAAGGUGUGGCAUGUCCCCACUGUUCCCCAGUCCCUUCAGGCUCAGGAAGGAGCCACUUAAGAGAUAGCAGGAAGAGCAGGGGGAGCAGAGGAAGGAAGGGAUCAGGAAGGUAUGGCAGAGAAGAGGACGGUCCUGGCCAGAUCAGUGGGUCCCCUCCCCGGUUGUCACUGGUGUGGGACUGCGAGCAAGGCAGCAUCAAGGAAUCGGCUGCAAGCAGCAGGGUGGCUGCCUGCUUGUUGCCACAGUGCACACUUUGUGGUUUCCUAGUAUGUGUUUUUUCUUUUUUUUGUUUAUUUUCCAGAAUUGCUCCAAACCACACAAAAUUUCAUGUCAGGCUUGCCCAGAUCAAGGAGAUGUUCAGUCCCGUGGCUGGCAUGCUGCAUUUUCCAGCAUGGUGCCAGACCUCUCCUUUCACCCUGCUUUCACUAUUCUUCCCCCUUCAUUCUUCUUCUUUCCUUGCUUUGCUCUCUCUAGUAGCUGUAUUUAGUCCUGCCUUAUGUUAUUCCCUGUCUCCCUGACUGCUCUCUCUUUCUAGCCCCCUCCGACCAGGACCAGCGAUUUCAGAGGCCGUGGAAAGGCGACAGUUCAACCUGACCUUUUACCAUUUGUCUGUGAGUCCCUGCAGUUGAGUCUGCCUAAAUUACACGGCUGGGUCUCUCCUCUCCUCUCUUCCUUUCUCUCACUCCUUUCCUUCCCAUUCCAUCCAGCUCUUCUCCACUGAGUGUUACCGACCUGUGGGGAGGCGAAGGGCAUCCCCAGGGAGCUCCUGACACCCUUAUGCUCCUAAAACACUGAAAAUCCCCCAGCAUGUGCUUGGAAGCCCCCUGCUUUUGGGAUGUAAGGGCAAUCCCAGAGGCACUGGGUACCAGGCGCCC